rnacentral:rRNA from 2 species
UAACUGAAGAGUUUGAUCAUGGCUCAGAUUGAACGCUGGCGGCAGGCUUAACACAUGCAAGUCGAGCGGGG